rnacentral:tRNA from 1 species
GCCCUUGUAGUACAAAUUAAUACACUGGUCUUGUAAACCAGAAAUGGAGCACUCCCCAGGGUA